rnacentral:rRNA from 1 species
UCCGGAGGGCGCAAUCGUUGUUCGGAAUCACUGGGCGUAAAGCGCGUGUAGGCGGCUUGGUAAGUCGGGUGUGAAAGCCCGGGGCCUAACCCCGGAACUGCACUCGAAACUGCCUCGCUCGAGUCCCGGAGAGGAUGGUGGAAUUCCCGGUGUAGUGGUGAAAUACGUAGAUAUCGGGAGGAACACCAGCGGCGAAGGCGGCCAUCUGGACGGUGACUGACGCUGAGACGCGAAAGCGUGGGGAGCAAACAGG